rnacentral:rRNA from 1 species
AUUGAACGCUGGCGGCAUGCCUAACACAUGCAAGUCGAACGGCAGCACAGUCCGUAGCAAUACGGAUGGGUGGCGAGUGGCGGACGGGUGCGUAAUGUGUAGGGAUCUGCCCUGAAGUGGGGGACAACCCGGGGAAACUCGGGCUAAGACCGCAUAAUACUCUACGGAGGAAAUCUGGCUACGUAAGUAGCUGGAGCUUUAGGAUGAACCUACAUCCGAUUAGCUAGUUGGUGAGGUAAUGGCUCACCAAGGCGAUGAUCGGUAGCUGGGCUGAGAGGAUGACCAGCCACACUGGGACUGAGACACGGCCCAGACUCCUACGGGAGGCAGCAGUGGGGAAUAUUGGACAAUGGGGGAAACCCUGAUCCAGCAAUGCCGCGUGGGUGAAGAAGGCCUUCGGGUUGUAAAGCCCUUUAGGUGGGGAAGAAGGUUUUGGGGCGAUAAACCCUAGAAUUUGACGGUACCCACAGAAUAAGCACCGGCUAACUCUGUGCCAGCCGCCGCGGUAA